rnacentral:ncRNA from 14 species
GUAUAGUUUAGUGGUAGAACCUUAGCCUUCCAAGCUAAUGAUGGGAGUUCGAUUCUCCCUACCC